GUCGAGAAUCUUCCGCAAUGGGCGCAAGCCUGACGGAGCAAUGCCGCGUGAGGGAUGAAGGCCUUCGGGUUGUAAACCUCUGUCGCCCGGGACGAAGAAUGUGACGGUACCGGGAGAGGAAGCUACGGCUAACUACGUGCCAGCAGCCGCGGUAAUACGUAGGUAGCGAGCGUUAUUCGGAUUCACUGGGCGUAAAGGGUCCGCAGGGGGCCUGCCAAGUCGGUUGUGAAAGCUCAAGGCUCAACCUUGAAAUGUCAGCCGAAACUGGCGGGCUUGAGUGCACGAGGGGAAAGUGGAAUUCCUGGUGUAGCGGUGGAAUGCGUAGAUAUCAGGAGGAACACCGGCGGCGAAGGCGGCUUUCUGGCGUGCAACUGACCCUCAGGGACGAAAGUGUGGGUAGCAAACAGGAUUAGAAACCCCAGUAGUCC
rnacentral:rRNA from 1 species